AUGGAAGCACUCCGGCCGUUAUCCAUAACGGCCGUGGCGGCGCUUCUCCGUGCUCCCCCCGUGCCGAUUUCUACCUUCGUUGGUACUGGUAGGGAAGUGGGCGGUAGGCGAGGGAAGAGUGUGAGAGCUGGCGCAGGCUGGCUGUGGGGCCUGCUGGGCCGGAAGGGCGGCGGCGGUGCGCCCACGGCGAUGACGGUGACACCAGGGACCGUGAAGGCCGGCGAUCCCGUGCUUCACGAGCCGGCACAGGAGGUGUCCCCUGGGGACGUGCCUUCCGAGAAGAUCCAGGGCGUCAUCGAUCAGAUGAUCGCUGUGAUGCGCAAAGCCCCUGGCGUUGGCCUCGCCGCCCCACAGAUCGGCGUGCCUUUGAAGAUUAUUGUUCUCGAGGACACCCAAGAAUACAUCAGCUAUGCUUCCAAGGAGGACAUCGAUGCACAGGAUCGCCGUUCCUUUGAUCUUCUUGUUGUUAUCAAUCCCAAGCUUAGGAAGACGAGUAAAAGAACUGCACGUUUCUAUGAAGGAUGUCUUAGUGUCGAUGGAUAUAGAGCGGUUGUUGAGCGUCAUUUGGAUGUUGAGGUUUCGGGUUUCGACCGAAAUGGACAUCCCAUGAAGGUGGAGGCAUCAGGAUGGCAGGCACGCAUUCUGCAGCAUGAGUGUGAUCACCUCGAAGGCACAUUAUAUGUUGACAAGAUGGUUCCGAGGACAUUCAGGACAGUUGAUAACUUGAAUCUGCCACUUGCCACUGGAUGUCCUCCUCUAGGUGCAUGA
rnacentral:rRNA from 1 species